rnacentral:rRNA from 1 species
GAUGAACGCUGGCGGCGUGCCUAAUACAUGCAAGUCGAGCGAACAGACGAGGAGCUUGCUCCUCUGACGUUAGCGGCGGACGGGUGAGUAACACGUGGAUAACCUACCUAUAAGACGGGGAUAACUUCGGGAAACCGGAGCUAAUACCGGAUAAUAAAUUGAACCGCAUGGUUCAAUAGUGAAAGACGGUUUUGCUGUCACGUAUAGAUGGAUCCGCGCCGCAUUAGCUAGUUGGUAAGGUAACGGCUUACCAAGGCAACGAUGCGUAGCCGACCUGAGAGGGUGAUCGGCCACACUGGAACUGAGACGCGGUCCAUACUCCUACGGGAGGCCGCAGUAGGGAAUCUUCCGCAAUGGGCGAAAGCCUGACGGAGCGACGCCGCGUGAGUGAUGAAGGUCUUCGGAUCGUAAAACUCUGUUAUUAGUGAAGAACCAAUGUGUAAGUAACUAUGCACGUCUUGACGGUACCUAAUCAGAAAGCCCCGGCUAACUACGUG